AUGUUGUCCAGCUCAUCCUCACGCUCGUGGAUUCGCCUCCUCCUAUACGCGACACUUGAAACAUGGACGUGUUUGAAGCAGAACCUCCGUCUUCUAUCUCAACGCCGGCGGCCCGACGGCGUCGAAUCCUUAUUGACGCCCGUCGGCGGCCCAGUGAUGCGACCAGAUCACUGCAAAUUGCUCCAUUCAUGUCAGCAGCCUAAUCAGGUGGAGGUAGUCAUGUUGGCACCACUGUUUUGCUUCGUGCUGAUGUGGUAUAAAAGUGCCUCCUCGGCAGAUGAGGACCUGAGCGUGGCCGUGCUAAUGAGGAUGCAGGAUCCACUGCCACCGGCCAGUCCGAGUGAUUGCAGAGAACUUGGCAGGCAGAUCAAUUACGAGGAGGUCAAGGCUGAGCUGAAGUGGGGUGGGCGCCAACAUGAAGGAGUUGGAGAUAUCUCUAUUUUUGGUGUGUGGUGGUGGACAUAA
rnacentral:rRNA from 1 species